rnacentral:rRNA from 1 species
GACGAACGCUGGCGGCGUGCCUAACACAUGCAAGUAGAACGCUGAAGAGAGGAGCUUGCUCUUCUUGGAUGAGUUGCGAACGGGUGAGUAACGCGUAGGUAACCUGCCUGGUAGCGGGGGAUAACUAUUGGAAACGAUAGCUAAUACCGCAUAAAAUGGAUUAUCGCAUGAUAAUCCAUUGAAAGGUGCAAAUGCAUCACUACCAGAUGGACCUGCGUUGUAUUAGCUAGUUGGUGGGGUAACGGCUCACCAAGGCGACGAUACAUAGCCGACCUGAGAGGGUGAUCGGCCACACUGGGACUGAGACACGGCCCAGACUCCUACGGGAGGCAGCAGUAGGGAAUCUUCGGCAAUGGACGGAAGUCUGACCGAGCAACGCCGCGUGAGUGAAGAAGGUUUUCGGAUCGUAAAGCUCUGUUGUAAGAGAAGAACGAGUGUGAGAGUGGAAAGUUCACACUGUGACGGUAUCUUACCAGAAAGGGACGGCUAACUACGUG